rnacentral:rRNA from 1 species
GAGUGAACGCCGGCGGUAGGCCUAACACAUGCAAGUCGAACGGCAGCACAGUAAGAGCUUGCUCUUACGGGUGGCGAGUGGCGGACGGGUGAGGAAUACAUCGGAAUCUACUUUUUCGUGGGGGAUAACGUAGGGAAACUUACGCUAAUACCGCAUACGACCUACGGGUGAAAGCAGGGGAUCUUCGGACCUUGCGCGAUUGAAUGAGCCGAUGUCGGAUUAGCUAGUUGGCGGGGUAAAGGCCCACCAAGGCGACGAUCCGUAGCUGGUCUGAGAGGAUGAUCAGCCACACUGGAACUGAGACACGGUCCAGACUCCUACGGGAGGCAGCAGUGGGGAAUAGUGGACAAUGGGCGCAAGCCUGAUCCAGCCAUACCGCGUGGGUGAAGAAGGCCUUCGGGUUGUAAAGCCGUUUUGUUGGGAAAGAAAAGCAGCAGGUUAAUACCCCGCUGUUCUGACGGUACCCAAAGAAUAAGCACCGGCUAACUUCGUG